UACAGCAACGGCAAACAAUGAUGCGGUGGAAUCAUGUUGGUGUGAGCGACGGGUUGCGCUUAAAUUUGCAGCUGAAUUGCGAUGAUUCUGGAGUUCGCCAUUGCUUGGCGGAUACCGACGUCGUUGUAGAGAUGCUUGUUGGGUUUGCCGUGGAGGUGAUGUUGGAAUUUUGGAGAUAUGAGGCUGAAGAAUGAUCGCGCUGUGUUUGCGAAUGUAAGGGAGAAGCUGUGUGUGCAGUAGAAGUUAGGGUUCUUGUUCGUAAGCUUGCAUUGAGUGGGAGUGAUUUGAGAAUUUGGGAUAUCAACAAAUGAUGGUGAAUUGGGACUUUAGUUCACACAUCGGAGGAUUGAGUCUUUGGAUCCUUCAUUUGACAAUAAAAUGUCUUACCCCAAGUCCUGGAGGUCCUUCCGCUACAUGGGUCUGCAGGGUAGAUAACUGAUCUGCGCAAAAGGUCAUCGAAGAGCAGGAAGUCAACUUUCAGUUGCAUCCUCGAGUGAUUUCUAACAUCCCCGAUCAUCACACCUGGAUCAUGGUGUUCACUAGUGAUGCUUCUGGUUGCCAAACGUCGUGUGUACAGCUUGUGUGUCAGGGGUGCUUUGGGAGCGCAUCGUUUAGAUUUUUAUCAGCUUCGAGCUUCUCCAUGAUCCGGUGGGAGUUUUAUUGAAUUGUGCUUCUUUUCGGCACUAAGCAAGCGCAAUGUUACUUGUGAGUGAUCAGGUGCUAUCUUAGUUAUCAACUUCAAAACACCUAAAUUUAGGUCGUUAUUGUACAUUGACAGCGAUGUAGAGGACUCGGAAAUGCGUUUGCAUCAAGCCGUGAGUUCCUUUUGAACUGAUGACCUUCAGCUGUACCGACGUUUUGGGUUGUGUUGACAAUCACGAUUGCUGGGUUGUGCAAGGAAAUGCGCAUUGAAAUGAAGGUGAUCAUAGAUGUGGUACUUGCUGCCUUCACUCAAGCCAGUCGGUAAGGGACUCAAUUGGAUGUGUGGAAUUACUAUUGGUCGGCAAAAUGUUCAGGCAGAGAACAGGCGUAAUAGGUCAUGUUCUCCAAACCUCCGAGUUUCAAUAGUUUACUGCUGGUCUGGUGCUGUGAACAAAGAGGGUUCACCGGUCAUCAGUUGCAGCUGCAUAGACGCUUUCGUGACUAGUAUGACUUGUUGAUGAAGAAUGAGACUGGGACUGACAACGUGUAACACCCCCCGUCUAAUCUUAUUAGUGGGUCGUGGCUAUGUGAACAGUACUGCAGAUAAUUAAGUGUUUUGUUGUGCUUUGGUUGUAUAAUCGUCUCCCUGGUGGGUCCGUGUGAUCUGGUCACAAGUCACGGUAUAAUCUUCUCCAUGGGGAUGGUGAAAUACGACGAUGGCCCACUACCUGCACCAUCACCGAUCAGGUACGCUCACUUGUCUGGAUUUUCUUGUCUGAUUUCCUCCACCUUGUUUCCUAUACCACGUAAUGCUGCGCUUCUUCAACCUUCCCAAAUGCUCAAAGUGACUCCUCCUUGGCGCUCCCUCCCUCACAGGCUACUGCCACUGUUCAUGUGGCUAGCUUAGCUCCCCAGUGAGGUACAUUGUGUCUUCAGAGCAAAGACAAAGUGCAAUAUGCUACUCACCAGCAAGCCGUUGCUCAAGGACAUGAGCUCUGUGCCCGCCAUCGUAGGUUGAACCCCCUACGUGACAUCAGACUUGUAAGUCCGCUGAAUGGGUUCUCAUCUUUUCUGUUGCUGCCACAAACUCUUUGUUCCAAAGAAACGACCAGUUGUGCUAGUACAGUGAAGGUGGUCCGCUUCCUCCCCCUGAUUACCACAUCCGAUACCUUCCAGUGCACUAUUGGGCGUGUGCUUUGUUGGCAUAUUGCCCACUAAGACAAUAUCUCAUUGUCUUCAUCCUCACCCUCAUUCAUUCGAGCGUUAUGUAUGCAUUACGGCACAACAGUUGCUGCUCACACAUGUGGUUAGUUGCAAUUUUCCACUCUGGAAAUUCAUCAAAGUCAAUGAUUUAAAACGGGAUGGAAUUGAGGACCCAAAAAAUACAGUACUAAAAAAAUCUGGCAAAACAAAUAAAUAAUCAAAGAAUGAAGAUGUGCAACGAAGGGAAAGCCUUCAACAAGCUCUUUUAUUUUGGUGCAUUAGCUAACAACAUGGGGGCCCAUGGGUUUGGUUCAGGAUGUUUGGUAUUCAAGAUGUUGACUUGAUUGAUUUUGUGUUCUCGCAUCUUGUGGACGCAGAAGAUCUUCACUUGCCAAACCAGCAACUUUCCUAGUAGGAACCAAUGAGAGCUUUGGUUUGAUGCAAAUGGCCAUUAUUGUCGUCAUUGCAGUGGGUUUUAGACGAGUGUAGUUGCUAAUUUGGUUUCGUACCUGACGGUGCUUGUGGGUCUUGGAAGCCCGAGAUGGUCUUUAUCAGAACUUGUGUUUACGACUUGUUUCUUGUGCAUUCCGACCACAUUUCUACGUUUAUUUGAAGCCAGUAAUGGAAAUGGGCUUGGAUUUUAUCGUGCGAUUCAGUGGUAAUCCUUCAGGAAGGGAUGUGUCCAGAAGAUCCAUUCCACAAUCUCUGCCCAGUUCCAUGAAACUGUAGGCCACUGUUGGAUCAAAUUUGGGGUACCUGAAAUGACAAGCCCACUUGCAGCGUCAA